GUCCGCGUGGCCCAAUGGAUAAGGCGUCUGACUUCAGAUCAGAAGAUUUACGGAGGUUCGACUCCCUGCCGGACG